GGUCCAGUGGAGGCUGGGGUGUGUGUCCUGAGAGGUGACCUAGGAGCAUAGAAAUCCCCUCUGCUGUGCGUUGGGGAUCCAGGACAGCCUCUCUGUGCCAGGAUCACAGCGUCGGCAGGGCUGCCUCUGGAAGGGGCAGGGAGAAUCCACGGUCUGGCCCAGGCAGCUGCGAGCCUCUGCGCUCUCCCCACCCCAGAACUGUGGCGGUGACUUUCUUGCCGUCUCUCAUCACUCUGCCUCCCUCUUGCACCACAAAGACCUUGUGAUUAUGUGGGCCCAGCUGGAUCUGUGUCAGCUCACAUGCAGGUUGGUUCUCUGUACAGGGGAGCCAGCCCCCCCAACAGCCCUGGAGCACAGGGGAACCAGCAUCCCACAGCCCUGGGUCACAGGGGAGCCAGCCCCCCACGGCCCUGGGUCCCAGCCUCCCCACAGACUGGGAGUUGGGGAUGUCCUGGGGGCAUGCGUUCUAUGCUGCAGCGGCUCAGGAGCAGUCCCUAAAUAAAUCCCUGUCUUCCCCACAAAGUCGGUAGAAAUGCAGCCGAUGCUCCAGGACCAGCAGUGCUAAUGGCCAACAAAAUUAAAAUCUCCUUGACAGAUCCAGACAUGAAGUCUUAUGCUUUGUACCACUGCAUAAAUUCACUUUGUCAGCACAGAUACGGGCUUGAGCAAGAAUAUCAAUUUAAGGAAACUAAAUUAGGAC
rnacentral:lncRNA from 1 species